rnacentral:rRNA from 1 species
UCUUGCGCAAUGGGCGAAAGCCUGACGCAGCCAUGCCGCGUGUAUGAUGAAGGUCUUAGGAUUGUAAAAUACUUUCACCGGUGAAGAUAAUGACUGUAGCCGGAGAAGAAGCCCCGGCUAACUUCGUGCCAGCAGCCGCGGUAAUACGAAGGGGGCUAGCGUUGCUCGGAAUUACUGGGCGUAAAGGGAGCGUAGGCGGACAUUUAAGUCAGAGGUGAAAUCCCGGAGCUUAACUUCGGAACUGCCUUUGAUACUGGGUGUCUUGAGUGUGAGAGAGGUAUGUGGAACUCCGAGUGUAGAGGCGAAAUUCGUAGAUAUUCGGAAGAACACCAGUGGCGAAGGCGACAUACUGGCUCAUUACUGACGCUGAGCUCGAA